AUGAACGCUGGCGGCGUGCCUCAUCCCUGCAAGUCGAGCGAACAGACGAGGAGCUUGCUCCUCUGACGUUAGCGGCGGACGGGUGAGUAACACGUGGAUAACCUACCUAUAAGACUGGGAUAACUUCGGGAAACCGGAGCUAAUACCGGAUAAUAUAUUGAACCGCAUGGUUCAAUAGUGAAAGACGGUUUUGCUGUCACUUAUAGAUGGAUCCGCGCCGCAUUAGCUAGUUGGUAAGGUAACGGCUUACCAAGGCAACGAUGCGUAGCCGACCUGAGAGGGUGAUCGGCCACACUGGAACUGAGACACGGUCCAGACUCCUACGGGAGGCAGCAGUAGGGAAUCUUCCGCAAUGGGCGAAGGCCUGACGGAGCAACGCCGCGUGAGUGAUGAAGGUCUUCGGAUCGUAAAACUCUGUUAUUAGGGAAGAACAAAUGUGUAAGUAACUAUGCACGUCUUGACGGUACCUAAUCAGAAAGCCACGGCUAACUACGUG
rnacentral:rRNA from 1 species